GAACAUCCUUCUGCUGCACGCCUGUCAUCGCCUACGCCAAGUGCUCGGAAUGCUUCCCACCUGAGCGCAGCCAGCAGACAGAAGGCUGUCCUGCCUUUCAGAGACAGUUAGCUAACACAUCCGUCGCCAGGUGCAGCUCCGCCUGCUGGCUGCAUUCCCGCUGAAGACACAGAAACUCGAGACAAUCUCCAGCUCGCUUUGAAGAUCUGCACUCCCAGGUUGUCUCAUCCUAGAUUUAAC